rnacentral:misc_RNA from 1 species
CUGGCUUUGAAGGCGCUUGAAGAGCCACGCUGCGCUGCUUACGAGCUCUACCGCCACGAGCCUCGGUCCAGCCUGCUCUCGGAAGCGCCAAGUCCCCUCCUUCGCUGGAAUCGCUCGGCAAUGGCUCGCCUCGACGACGGCUUCCAGGAGCGUGGAAAGGCUCGGACUGGAUGCUUCCCCUCGCUCGCGGGAGACGAGCGACGAUUUCGCGCACGAAGCUGGGUCGGGCUGCGUUUUGCGAGGACUGCUGACUUUGCUUGCUUUCGUUUCGAGUGGCUCUUGAUUUCCAAGGCUUGAGCCGUCACUCGCAUUGAAGGGGACUUGGCGGGCCGACCCCUGUUCCUCCUCGUCCUCCUCAGCGGGGCCACUUCUCGCCUUUCGCCA